CAGUCGCCACGGGGAAUACGUAGGGUGCAAGCGUUAAUCGGAAUUACUGGGCGUAAAGCGUGCGCAGGCGGUUAUAUAAGACAGAUGUGAAAUCCCCGGGCUCAACCUGGGAACUGCAUUUGUGACUGUAUAGCUAGAGUACGGCAGAGGGGGAUGGAAUUCCGCGUGUAGCAGUGAAAUGCGUAGAUAUGCGGAGGAACACCGAUGGCGAAGGCAAUCCCCUGGGCCUGUACUGACGCUCAUGCACGAAAGCGUGGGGAGCAAACAGGAUUAGAUACCCGGGUAGUCCCUGUCUCUUAUA
rnacentral:rRNA from 1 species